GCUGGGUAUGGUGGCACACACCUAUAGUCCCAGCUACUCAGGAGGCUGAGACAGGAGGAAGACCACUUGAGCCCAGGAGUUCUAGGCUGUAGUGUAUUAUGCCGGUCGGUUGCCUGCACUAAGUUGGACAUUAAUAUGGUGACCUCUUGGGAGCCAGGGUUACCACUAGGCUGCCUAAGGAGAGAUGAGCUGGCCUAGUUUGGAAAUGGAACAAGUUAAAACUCCUGUGUUGAUCAAUAGUGGGAUAGUGCCUGGAAAUAGCCACUGUGCUACAAGCCUGGGCAAGGUAGUGAGGCCCCAUCU
rnacentral:SRP_RNA from 10 species